rnacentral:rRNA from 1 species
UUGCACUUUUUGGACGUCGACCGGCGCACGGGUGAGUAACGCGUAUCCAACCUUCCCAUGACUAAGGGAUAACCUGCCGAAAGGCAGACUAAUACCUUAUGGUCUUCACUGACGGCAUCAGAUGUGAAGUAAAGAUUUAUCGGUUAUGGAUGGGGAUGCGUCUGAUUAGCUUGUUGGCGGGGUAACGGCCCACCAAGGCAACGAUCAGUAGGGGUUCUGAGAGGAAGGUCCCCCACAUUGGAACUGAGACACGGUCCAAACUCCUACGGGAGGCAGCAGUGAGGAAUAUUGGUCAAUGGGCGAGAGCCUGAACCAGCCAAGUAGCGUGCAGGAAGACGGCCCUAUGGGUUGUAAACUGCUUUUGUAUGGGGAUAAAGUCAAUCACGUGUGAUUGUUUGCAGGUACCAUACGAAUAAGGACCGGCUAAUUCCGUGCCAGCAGCCGCGGUAAUACGGAAGGUCCGGGCGUUAUCCGGAUUUAUUGGGUUUAAAGGGAGCGUAGGCUGGAGAUUAAGUGUGUUGUGAAAUGUAGACGCUCAACGUCUGACUUGCAGCGCAUACUGGUUUCCUUGAGUACGCACAACGUUGGCGGAAUUCGUCGUGUAGCGGUGAAAUGCUUAGAUAUGACGAAGAACUCCGAUUGCGAAGGCAGCUGACGGGAGCGCAACUGACGCUGAAGCUCGAAGGUGCGGGUAUCGAACAGGAUUAGAUACCCUGGUAGUCCGCACAGUAAACGAUGGAUGCCCGCUGUUGGUACCUGGUAUCAGCGGCUAAGCGAAA